CACGCAGAACUAACCUAAAUCCCAUCGAUCCGUCUCUGCGUCCGCCGCCGCCCCUCUCGCGCUACCUCCCCGCCUCAUCCGACUGCUUCCCCGCCGUCGGGAUGGAUAUCGGGGCUGAGGUGAGGAGGGUUGAGGGUCCCUCGAUUUCUGUCUAGGGUUCCCCGCCCACGCCGUCGCCUCGGCCACAUGCCUCGCGCCGCCCAGCCCCGCCAGACGCCGACGCCACGCCUCGCUCGCCUUCGUCGAGGUCGCCCGAUGCAGCCCAACCAUGGUGUGCAUCGGCCACUUGGGCGCAUUGGCUGCGGUAGUGACGCAGGGGCACGUGUGGAAGCCGGGACGAGGACGGACACAUCCAGAUCAGGUGCUCACGCCUGAUCUUGAUUAGUGUGGCCGCGGCGUUUGAAGAUUGAGCAUUGGACGGAUGCGUCCAGAGCAGACCUGACCUACAUGGCUGAGCGAGAUUGAGGCCGGCCGCCGGUCAUGUUCUCCUACGGUGCAAGCUCCGCACUGAAGCAUCCAACACAUGUUGUAAAGAAUCCGUACACUCCGGAGCAAGUAUUGUGAUCACAAUUACAGACAAGAUUCCUAAGUGCUUGAGGAUGUGAGUGCUCAAGGUAAACUUGCGGUGUAAUCUUGACCGAGCAAGAACGGCGAUGUGAUGCUCAUGGAAGAUGAGGUGAAGGAGGUGAACACACUGAUGAUAUUAUGGUAACCAAGGUGAGGAGAUCAAGAGCAUCAACAACCUCUUGACCGGGCUCUUCGUCGUUGCCACCAACAACAGUUACGAGCUUGUGAGGUAGCUGCUGGAGUGUUGGAGCAUCCUUGAAAAGAAGAAGAACAAAAUGCUGAUCAAGUUGUUCAACGAAGACGAGAUAGACAACCAUGGUAGGGGGCAAAAGAAGGCGUAGACUAUCUGCCAACUUCGACAGGGGGCAGAAGAAGAAAGAAGAAGAGUGAUUUAAUGGUGAAAGAAACUCGAAAGCAUGUUCGAACUAUUAAAUUAUAUAUGCCCCUGUUGCAACACAUGUUAGAUUACUACACUGUCAUAAUUCCAACAAAAUGCGGAACUAGCAAUACACCGUUCUCACAAAUAUUACACUGAUUGUUCAGUACUUUUUUUUCCAGGCAUUUGGCUUUUGACUGCAUAAAAGUGAGUAGAGGUGAAUGAAUGUUUAGGGAUGGAGGCUAGGCACUGUGAGAGAGUUAUUUUCAAUACUAUGAUUGUCACUGUCACUGUGUGCCUCAUUGCACUGUGAGUAUUAUCCUCUUUAAUUAUCUCGAACUACGGAUUUGUUGUACAGAACAAAAUUAUAGGUGGUAUUCGUUGUUUGUCCUCUUAAGUAUGUAUAUGGAACAAUGAUCGCACAUAUUCCUGUAAGCUAGAUUCUCUUCACAUUUAUGCAUAGUCUUGUUGGGGAGAAAAGAAAAGCAGUUAUAAUAAGCAGACAUAUUCUUCCUGUUUAUGUAUUCUUGCUCGGAGAGAAAAACAAAGUCUGAUAAUAGGCAGUUUUAUAUAAGCUUAUUUCUUGCAAAAUGGAUAUGGAAACUAACUAUCGUUUUUUGCUCUCUUACUUGUAAUGCAAAAUGUGAGAGCUUAUAUACACCCACAUAAAACAAGUAGGUGUUAUAACUCCUUAAGUGUUGGUGUUGUAUGUCUAAUUAUUGUUGCAUCAUUGGUGUUGCUUUAUUGGAUACACUGUCCUUUGGUGUUCUUUGGUUUUGUUAUUCUUUUCUUGGUUUUGAUCAUUUUGUGAUUGCAGGUGAUGAUAAAGACAGAAAAUGGUCUGUGCACAUGGCGCUAACGAUCGUGGAGGGAUCGACAAGGGGCCCGACUGUACUGUUUGGUACCCCUCAUGCCCAGCUUCCACUGGUCCACCGUGGGUGCUUCAGGCUUUGGUGAUUACAGCAAAUUAGCGCCGAGAUAUGCUGCAAGAAUCGUCGGCAAGUGUUGUUUCGCUGGGAAGGCAUCGGCCAUGAGAAUAGUAAAGUUGGGGAAGUUGUGCCGCUUUACAAGCACAAGAACACUAUGAUAGUGAAGGACCUGAACUUGAAGUCAAAGCACAAUAAAUGCAUAGAGGAUGAACCGGGGGAAAUUGUCAUGGUUAGUACUAUUUUUAUCAAAACUUCUCUCCAUGCGACCAUGCCUCUUGCCAUGCAAGCGCAUAUGUUCCUGGCAAGAGCAUAGUUUCAGUGCCACAAGUAUUAUCUUCUGACGGCAUUUCAGAUUUUCCUUUGAUCAGAUUGAAGGCCCCAUUCUUAGCUUGAACAUGUUGCUCUUUUAAAAUCCUGGCAAGAGCAUAGUUUCAGUGCGCUUCAACCAGUCACUCCUCGAGCAUGCACCACAGUUAUUUCCUCCCCUUUUUCAAGCGCAUUAUUAAUCCAGCGCGCGGCUGCUUUGGAUAACUUCAAGGCAAUUAAUAGCCCAUCUUGGUAUUAUAAAUUUUGCUCUCGGGCCCUUUAAACCCGGACGGAGGUAGUAUGGUGUAAAAUUCCUGAGCUGGACAUUAUGUUACAAUGGAAAUUUGAGGAUUCUUGCCUAUCAUACCCAUUUGUAGCCUAUAUCACACUGCAAAAUUCCAUGAACAAUUUGGUCCACAUUAUUUUUCUGUUAUAUCGUUCCUACCUAAGCGUGGAUUCCUUGAAACAUAGAAGUAUUUUCACAUCUAUUACAAACCAAGGUCUGUUAA